AUUGAACGCUGGCGGCAGGCCUAACACAUGCAAGUCGAGCGGAUGACGGGAGCUUGCUCCUUGAUUCAGCGGCGGACGGGUGAGUAAUACCUAGGAAUCUGCCUGAUAGUGGGGGACAACGUUUCGAAAGGAACGCUAAUACCGCAUACGUCCUACGGGAGAAAGCAGGGGACCUUCGGGCCUUGCGCUAUCAGAUGAGCCUAGGUCGGAUUAGCUAGUUGGUGAGGUAAAGGAUCACCAAGGCGACGAUCCGUAACUGGUCUGAGAGGAUGAUCAGUCACACUGGAACUGAGACACGGUCCAGACUCCUACGGGAGGCAGCAGUGGGGAAUAUUGGACAAUGGGCGAAAGCCUGAUCCAGCCAUGCCGCGUGUGUGAAGAAGGUCUUCGGAUUGUAAAGCACUUUAAGUUGGGAGGAAGGGCAGUAAGCUAAUACCUUGCUGUUUUGACGUUACCGACAGAAUAAGCACCGGCUAACUCUGCGCCAGCCGCCGCCGUAAAAC
rnacentral:rRNA from 1 species